ACGCACGCUGGCGGCAUGCCUCACCCCUGCCGGUCGGACGAGACCUUCGGGUCUAGUGGCGCACGGGUGCGUAACGCGUGGGAACCUGCCCUUAGGUUCGGAAUAACUCCCCGAAAGGGGUGCUAAUACCGGAUAAUGUCUUCGGACCAAAGAUUUAUCGCCUUUGGAUGGGCCCGCGUUGGAUUAGCUAGUUGGUAGGGUAAAAGCCUACCAAGGCGACGAUCCAUAGCUGGUCUGAGAGGAUGAUCAGCCACACUGGGACUGAGACACGGCCCAGACUCCUACGGGAGGCAGCAGUGGGGAAUAUUGGACAAUGGGCGGAAGCCUGAUCCAGCAAUGCCGCGUGAGUGAUGAAGGCCUUAGGGUUGUAAAGCUCUUUUACCCGGGAUGAUAAUGACAGUACCGGGAGAAUAAGCUCCGGCUAACUCCGUG
rnacentral:rRNA from 1 species